CAGGACGAACGCUGGCGGCGUGCCUAACACAUGCAAGUCGAGCGGGGACAUACGACGGAUAGGAAGUUUCGGAUGGAAUUGAAGAUGUAUUGUUCUAGCGGCGGACGGGUGAGUAACGCGUGAGCAACCUGUCCCUUACAGGGGGAUAACACAGCGAAAGUUGUACUAAUACCGCAUAAGACCACGGGGAGACAUCUCCAGGGGUCAAAGGAGCAAUCCGGUAAGGGGUGGGCUCGCGUCCGAUUAGAUAGUUGGUGAGGUAACGGCCCACCAAGUCGACGAUCGGUAGCCGACCUGAGAGGGUGAUCGGCCACAUUGGGACUGAGACACGGCCCAAACCCCUACGGGAGGCAGCAGUGGGGAAUAUUGGGCAAUUGGGGGGAAACCCUGACCCAGCAACGCCGCGUGAGGGAAGAAGGUUUUCGGAUCGUAAACCUCUGUCCUUGGUGAAGAGGAAGAGACGGUAGCCAAGGAGGAAGCCCCGGCUAACUACGUGCCAGCCGCCGC
rnacentral:rRNA from 1 species